GCCAAUUGUAGAGCGCGGUUCAUCGUCGACUAGCCUUUCUCUCUCAGUGUAUUGUGUGUAGUCGUGGAAUCGCGACGAGUUGCUAUUAAUAACGGUCAUUAAUUCUUGAUCGCCUCUAACAGAUUUUUUUUUUUAGAUGGUAGAAUCAGUUCGCAUAGUUGAAGAACGCGUGGUUGAAAAACGAUCGCGAGCAACGAACAUGAUAAUGUUGGCAAUGAAAGGAAGAAGAGACAGAGGUAUAAGAGGAUUGAGUUUGGGAAGCGUUUUUGGACAACAAAUUCACCAAAGGACACUGCAUUGCAAAUACAUGCAUAUCAAGAAAACACUUUGAUAAUUUAAGAAAUAUUUAAGAGAUUGGAAAUGUUAAUGUUAUGAGUAAACUGCGUUUAUGGCAGAUUUAAGGAUGCAGAAAUAUAUGUAUGUAUAUAACAUGGAGAAAUAUAUAAAAUAUCCAAAGUAUAGUAGCUGUUAUCUGCAUAAAUAUUUGCAGCUUGAUUAGAACAAUUAUUCGAUUCGAAUUGUAUAAAUAUCAAAGAGUAAUUUGUAAGAUUAGAUGUGUCAAAAUAUUUAACCUAACGAAAUCAUUUCGCCUGGAAAAUUGAAACCGAUAAGUCUGCGAGAUUCUUCGAGGGUUGAUCCUCUCUAAACCCAGUCAUCCCUUUAGAAAUUGGGAUUAACUGGAAUUAAGGCGGGUCGAGUCAAAAACUUGGCGUUAAAGUAGACGUUUUAUUUGUAUGUUUAAGAUCUAACGAUUUUCAAAACUUCCAAUUACAAAGAAGAAGCUCCUUAAUCCUCGAACACUUCCGAACAUUAUGCCAAUUUUCGAUUGCUAAUAUACGUUACACGAGGGGAAAGAAAUCGAGCCGUUCGAGUGAGAGGUUAUAUUUUAACAAGCUGUCCGAAAUUUGUCAGAAACUUUAAUCCCUCGAAAGCAGAUUUCGACGAUGACAUCCGAAACGAUUCCUUGGGCGCAUACAUAUUUCUCACCAGACGUUGAUUUGUUCCCAUGGGAAGGUUGUAAUCUCUCCAUGGGGAUCAAUAAGUCAACACGAGUUACAAAUAUAAACCUAAAGAAGCUCGAUCGCUGUUGUCUAGGCUUCUGAUUACCCAAAAAGACGUUCAGAAUUUUUCAAAUUGAGCAACCUGUAUUGGGAUUACAUAACCUGUAAAAUGAUCCCAAAUAAUAACUUUCCAGAAUAUUUAAUACUCCUUUAAUCAAGCCAAAUAAGAUACACAUGACAAUCUAAAAAAUUUUCUCUUAAUAAUUGCAUAAAUAACUGGAAAGAUAUUGCGAAUAAUUUUUUAGUUAAAACUGAGUAAACCAUAUUUCAAUUCCACAAGCCAUAAAAUCGACACUAUUUCCUCAUAGAAUUUUAAUAAUACUCAGCACUUCUUAAGUCUAACCAAAAAGGAUAUAGAUAUGUAGCGGUACAUGAGCUAGAGGACAUUUCGCUAUUGUUUUGCUUCAGAGUAUCAAUAUCGUUAAAAUAUACAUAAUGUAAUAGUAAACCAACUCCGAGCAAAACAACGUCGUCGCCACGUGUAACCGUCUAACAAAGGCGAAUGGAAAUGUAUCGGUAUCCCUUCGACCAGUAUAAGUAAACAAACAUGAUCGUAAGAUGAUCAGUUUCUCAGUCUCGGUCUCGAGCGAUUUUAUCAGCGAUCAGCACACAGUUUUUAGCGAAUCCGUUCGUACCGAUCGUCUCAGCGAACAUUAUUGUAACAAAUCCACGGUUGACUCUGUAUUUAUAAUUAUUUUAAAAUAUAUUUGACGGUUUCAACAUCGAGUAA